UGAAGUCGAGCGGAUUUGGCAGGGUAUCGCCAGAAUUAGCGGCAGACGAGUGAGUAACACGUAAGAAAUCUACCCCGAAGAAGGAAACAACCUGCCGAAAGGUGGGCUAAUAUCCUAUACAAUCCCGAGUUGGCAUCAUCUUGGGAUGAAAGGCGUAAGCCGCUUUGGGAGGAUCUUGCGACCUAUCAGCUUGUUGGUGAGGUAACGGCUCACCAAGGCGAUGACGGGUAGCCGGCCUGAAAGGGCGACCGGCCACGGAGGCACUGAGACACGGGCCUCACUCCUACGGGAGGCAGCAGUGGGGAAUUUUGGACAAUGGGGGAAACCCUGAUCCAGCAACGCUGCGUGAAGGACGAAGGUCUUCGGAUUGUAAACUUCUUUUGUUCGGGACGAAAGCCCGCAAGGGUUUGACGGUACCGGAUGAAUAAGCCACGGCUAACUACGUGCCAGCAGCCGCGGUAAGACGUAGGUGGCGAGCGUUACUCGGAAUCACUAGGCGUAAAGCGCGUGUAGGCGGGUGCUUAAGUCUGCUGUGAAAUCUCCCGGCUCAACUGGGAGGGGUCAGCAGAUACUGGGCGUCUGGAGUGAGGCAGGGGGUACUGGAAUUCCCGGUGUAGCGGUGAAAUGCGUAGAUAUCGGGAGGAACAUCAAUGGCGAAGCAGGUACCUGGGCCUUUACUGACGCUAAGACGCGAAAGCUAGGGGAGCAAACAGGAUUAGAUACCCUGGUAGUCCUAGCCGUAAACGAUGAACACUAGUGUGGGAGGAAUCGACCCCUUCCGCGUCGACGCUAACGCAUUAAGUGUUCCGCCUGGGGAGUACGGCCGCAAGGUUAAAACUCAAAGGAAUUGACGGGGGCCCGCACAAGCGGGGAGCAUGUGGUUUAAUUC
rnacentral:rRNA from 1 species